UAGAAAGUAGAAAGUAGAAAGUAGAAAGUAGAAAGUAGAAACUGCGCAGCGCAGAAACGUAAUAAAGUAGGAAACAUGAAACAAAAGCCGUAGUCGGAUAUUGGUGAGGAAGAGGAGGCAGCGACAGCUACGACUUUGUCGGACCCUUUGUUAGCUGCAGCCCCCCCCCCGCAGAAAGCAGAACAGGAAGAUAGUAGAGAUAGGUAGUGGUCAUCUUUCAGUCUCAAUUGGUUGGUCCGUCUAAAGGGAUCCAAUGGCUGAGGAGCAAAUAAAUUUUGAAGUGGAGGAAUAUGGAGGUGCUCAGAAGCUCCAAUAUCAGGGAAGUGGAGCCAUAUCUGCUCUUGCAGAUGAAGAACCGAUGGUCGAAGAUGAUGAGUACGACGAUCUAUAUGAUGAUGUUAAUGUUGGAGAGGGUUUCCUGCAGAUGCAUCGAUCUGAGGCACCACUCCCUGCUGCUGGUGUUGGGAAUGGAGGACUCCAAGCUCAGAAAACUGAUGUUCCCGAACUAAGAGUUCAAGCCGGUGCUUCUCAGGAAAUGAAAAUUCCGGGGGUUUCAGUUGGAGGAAAUUAUUCUAGUGUUCCUGAACAGAAGGUUCAGCCACCAGUCGCUAACGUGCCUGAAACUCAAGUCAGGCAUAUGGGGUUUCAGGGGUCAACAACUACGCCCUCCAAUGUUGGUGCUGAUUCUUUGGAAAUUACUGCAAAAUUUGCUAACGAGCCUCUUCCAUCAAUGAAUUCUGGCACCACUGGUCCUUCAGCUGUUACACAGAUGCCUGCUAAUCAAAUGAAUAUGAAGGUCAAUCUUAAUCGUCCAAUGGUUAAUGAAAACCAAAUCCGUCCUCCAAUUGAGAAUGGUUCGGCCACGUUGUUUGUGGGAGAUUUACAUUGGUGGACAACUGAUGCUGAACUGGAAGGUGUUUUAUCUCAGUUUGGGAGGGUGAAGGAAAUUAAGUUUUUUGAUGAAAGAGCCAGUGGUAAAUCCAAAGGUUAUUGUCAGGUAGAUUUUUAUGAUCCCGCGGCUGCCAGUGCAUGCAAAGAGGGAAUGGAUGGUUAUGUUUUCAAUGGGAGAGCUUGUGUUGUGGCCUUUGCUACUUCACAAACUUUAAAGCAGAUGGGAGCUAAUUAUGUGAACAAAUCCCAAGGGCAGGUUCAGACUCAGCCCCAAGGGAGAAGGCCCAUGAAUGAUGGUGCUGGGAGAGGGGGAGGCAUGAAUUUUCAAGGUGGAGACACGGGGAGAAAUUUUGGGAGGGGUAAUUGGGGGCGAGGUGGACAGGGAGUACCCAACAGAGGUCCUGGUGGACCAGGCCGGGGAAGAGGAGGGGCCAUGGGUGCAAAGAACAUGGUUGGGAAUAAUGCUGGGGUUGGAGCUGGUGCUAAUGGAGGAGGCUAUGGACAGGGCCUUGCAGGUCCUGGAUUUGGCGGUCCUGUGGGAGGUAUGAUGAAUGCACCUGGUAUGAUGGGUCCUGGGUUUGAUCCAACAUAUAUGGGUCGAGGAGGUGGUUACGGAGGGUUCCCUGGUCCUGGUUUUCCUGGAAUGCUUCCUCAAUUUCCUGGUGUUAAUGCAAUGGGACUUGCUGGGGUUGCUCCUCAUGUAAACCCAGCUUUCUUUGGCAGGGGAAUGGCAACGAAUGGGAUGGGGAUGAUGGGUUCUUCUGGAAUGGAGGGGCAUCAUGCCCCUAUGUGGAAUGAUCCAAGUAUGGGUGGGUGGGGAGGAGAAGAACAGGAUCGAAGAACUAGGGAGUCAAGCUAUGGGGGUGAUGAUGGUGCUUCUGAGUAUGGAAACUAUGUAGAGGCAAAUCAUGAGAAAUCAGCUAAGUCAAGUGCUGCCUCAAGGGAAAGAGAACGGGGAUCUGAGCGUGAGUGGACAGGAACCUCUGAGAGGAGGCAUCGUGAUGAGAGAGAACAAGACUUGGACAGGUCUGAAAGGGAGCACCGGGAGCCCAGGUAUAAAGAAGAAAAAGAUAGUUACAGAGAUCAUCGUCGAAGAGAGCGUGAUGUGGGUUAUGAUGAUGACUGGGACAGAGGACAAUCUUCUUCAAGACCUCGCAGUAGGUCCAAAGCAAUGCCGGAAGAUGAUCAUCGUUCUCGAUCAAGGGAUGUGGAUUAUGGGAAGAGGAGACGAUUGCCAUCUGAGUGACAUGAGUAAAUGAUUUUUCUUUCUUUGGCAUGUCGUUUAGACUGCAGCAUAUGGCUUCUUAACGGUAGUGGUAUCUUGCCUUGAAUAGCUACUGUGCAGCUGCAUCUUCAUCCAUGUUUCGAUGGCCCCACCUGCAAACGUGCUUCUUGAUGAAGAAGGAGUAGAGUGGGAAACUCUUUCUUUUCAUGCUUGAAUCAGCCUGUGCUGGUCACAUCGUGGAAUGUGUGUUACAAGGAUGUGUUGCCAAGUCUUAAAAAGAAAUCUAUUUUGGUUUUCACCUUAUUUUCUUGAAGCACCACCUAAUAUUUGUAUUACGACUGCUCGUGCAACUAGAAAGAGAGUUCUCAAAGUAGUGAAGUAUUAGAUGGACUUAUCAGUGUGCAUGUAGCUGAAUGUCUUUGUGUAACUAUGGACUUCUGUAUUAGGUACACAUGUAAUACCCUAUCAAUUUCUUGACCAUAUUAGGCUUACCUGUGAGCUUGUAAAAGUCUUGUACUGAAGCUAUGUGCUUAGUUUUCCAUAUUCGGUGUUGUAAUACAUGAUGACUGGCCUGUGCAUUAGGGAGUCAGGAUUCAGCCAAAUACAGUGUACUGAGAAGCCAUCAUGAUAGACUGUAAUUAGUCACGAUGAAGGUUCUACAAACCCAGUUUCUGUUGAAGCGAUUUCCUGUAAAAAGAUUCUUUUAUUUCAUAAUGCAUAUUGUGAUGUGUACUGGGUUUAAGGGUUAGGAGUUGUGAACCAAUGGUUCCUUGUAAAUGAGUUGGGGCCGAAAUGAUUGUUUAGGCACUGUUUCUCUCUUAGUGGAGGCCCAUGUUGUGCUCCUUACGUAUAUUUUCCAGUUGGACAUAGCUUUGUACUUUCUUCAUGGAUCAAUCAAUGUUCUCUGUUCCUUCUUUUUCAUUGGAACAGACUGUAUUGUUUCUCAAUAUUAUAUAAAAGAAAUUUGGUGGUGCA